UAUAUUCAGAUGAUAUGAGAAGAGGUCCUAAGAGUAGUGAGCAUGGGAACAUGAUGGAAGGCUAAAGCUCUCUCAGUUCCUUGUGAAACUCUAAAAGAGACUUUGUUUGAGUUUUCAUGAUGCCUCCCAUGCCUAUUGUUCUUUGGUGCUCCUUCCUCUUCCUUUUGAGU
rfam:Triticum aestivum genome assembly, contig: Triticum_aestivum_CS42_TGACv1_scaffold_158263_2DL